UUUAAACUUGAGAGUUUGAUCAUGGCUCAGAACGUACGCUGGCGGCACGCCUAACACAUGCAAGUCGAACGAAGUAGCAAUACUUAGUGGCAGACGGGUGAGUAACAUGUGGGUAUCUGCCCUUUGGCCUGGAAUAACACGAGGAAACUUGUGCUAAUACCGGAUAAGUCUUUACGGAGAAAGCUUUAUGCACCAUUGGAUGAGCCCGCACUUGAUUAGUUUGUUGGUAGGGUAAUGGCCUACCAAGACUAUGAUCAAUAGCUGAUUUGAGAGGAUGAUCAGCCACAUUGGGACUGAGACACGGCCCAAACUCCUACGGGAGGCAGCAGUGGGGAAUCUUGCACAAUGGAGGAAACUCUGAUGCAGCGAUGCCGCGUGAGUGAAGAAGGCCUUUGGGUUGUAAAGCUCUUUCGUCGGGGAAGAAAAUGACUGUACCCGAAUAAGAAGGUCCGGCUAACUUCGUGCCAGCAGCCGCGGUAAUACGAAGGGACCUAGCGUAGUUCGGAAUUACUGGGCUUAAAGAGUUCGUAGGUGGUUGAAAAAGUUGGUGGUGAAAUCCCAGAGCUUAACUCUGGAACUGCCAUCAAAACUUUUCAGCUAGAGUUUGAUAGAGGAAAGCAGAAUUUCUAGUGUAGAGGUGAAAUUCGUAGAUAUUAGAAAGAAUACCAAUUGCGAAGGCAGCUUUCUGGAUCAUUACUGACACUGAGGAACGAAAGCAUGGGUAGCGAAGAGGAUUAGAUACCCUCGUAGUCCAUGCCGUAAACGAUGUGUGUUAGACGUUGGAAAUUUAUUUUCAGUGUCGCAGCGAAAGCGAUAAACACACCGCCUGGGGAGUACGACCGCAAGGUUAAAACUCAAAUGAAUUGACGGGGACCCGCACAAGUAGUGGAGCAUGUGGUUUAAUUCGAAGAUACGCGCAGAACCUUACCAACACUUGACAUGUUCGUCGCGACUUUAAGAGAUUAAAGUUUUCGGUUCGGCCGGACGAAACACAGGUGCUGCAUGGCUGUCGUCAGCUCGUGUCGUGAGAUGUUGGGUUAAGUCCCGCAACGAGCGCAACCCUCACUUUUAGUUGCCAUCAUUAAGUUGGGCACUCUGAAAGAACUGCCAGUGAUAAGCUGGAGGAAGGUGGGGAUGACGUCAAGUCCUCAUGGCCCUUACGUGUUGGGCUACACACGUGCUACAAUGGUAUCUACAACAGGAAGCAAAACAGCGAUGUUAAGCAAAUCCUUAAAAGAUACCUCAGUUCGGAUUGCACUCUGCAACUCGAGUGCAUGAAGCUGGAAUUACUAGUAAUCGUGGAUCAGCGUGCCACGGUGAAUGCGUUCCCGGGUCUUGUACACACCGCCCGUCACACCAUGGGAGUUGGUUCUACCUUAAGGCAAGGUUUUAAACCCUUGACCACGGUAUAGUCAGCGACUGGGGUGAAGUCGUAACAAGGUAGCCGUAGGGGAACCUGCGGCUGGAUUACCUCCUUUCUAA
rnacentral:rRNA from 1 species